rnacentral:rRNA from 1 species
AUUGAACGCUGGCGGCAUGCCUUACACAUGCAAGUCGAACGGCAGCACGGGAGCAAUCCUGGUGGCGAGUGGCGAACGGGUGAGUAAUAUAUCGGAACGUGCCCAGUCGUGGGGGAUGACGCAGCGAAAGCUGUGCUAAUACCGCAUACGAUCUACGGAUGAAAGCGGGGGAUCGCAAGACCUCGCGCGAUUGGAGCGGCCGAUAUCAGAUUAGCUAGUUGGUGAGGUAAAGGCUCACCAAGGCGACGAUCUGUAGCUGGUCUGAGAGGACGACCAGCCACACUGGAACUGAGACACGGUCCAGACUCCUACGGGAGGCAGCAGUGGGGAAUUUUGGACAAUGGGCGAAAGCCUGAUCCAGCAAUGCCGCGUGCAGGAUGAAGGCCUUCGGGUUGUAAACUGCUUUUGUACGGAACGAAACGGUGAGCUCUAAUACAGUUUGCUAAUGACGGUACCGUAAGAAUAAGCACCGGCUAACUACGUGCCAGCCGCCGCCGUAA